rnacentral:rRNA from 1 species
AGCAGCCGCGGUAAUUCCAGCUCCAAUAGCGUAUAUUAAAGUUGUUGCAGUUAAAAGCUCGUAGUUGAAUUUCGGGGUUAGUAAGUUGGUCAUGCCUCUGGUAUGCACUGGCUUUACUGAUUCCUCCUUCUUGAUGAACUGUAAUGUCAUUAAUUUGGUGUUGCAGGAAAUCAGGACUGUUACUUUGAAAAAUUAGAGUGUUUAAAGCAGGCAUACGCUUGAAUACAUUAGCAUGGAAUAAUGAAAUAGGACGUUUGAUCCUAUUUUGUUGGUUUCUAGGAUUGACGUAAUGAUUAAUAGGGAUAGUUGGGGGCAUUAGUAUUCAAUUGUCAGAGGUGAAAUUCUUGGAUUUAUUGAAGACUAACUACUGCGAAAGCAUUUGCCAAGGAUGUUUUCAUUAAUCAAGAACGAAAGUUAGGGGAUCGAAGACGAUCAGAUACCGUCGUAGUCUUAACCAUAAACUAUGCCGACUAGGGAUCGGAUGAUGUUAUUUUUAAUGACUCAUUC